GGCGUAAGCGUGCGCAGGCGGUCUAGGUAAGACAGAUGUGAAAUCCCCGGGCUCAACCUGGGAACUGCAUUUGUGACUGCCUGGCUAGAGUACGGUAGAGGGGGGUGGAAUUCCAGCGUGUAGCGGUGAAAUGCGUAGAUAUGCGGAGGAACACCGGUGGCGAAGGCAAUCCCCUGGACCUGUACUGACGCUCAUGCACGAAAGCGUGGGGAGCAAACAGGAUUAGAUACCCUGGUAGUCCACGCCCUAAACGAUGUCAACUGGUUGUUGGGAAUUAUUAUUCUCGGUUUCGAGACUUACGCGUGAAGUUGACCGCCUGGGGAGUACGGGCGCAAGGGUGAAACUCCAAGGGAUUGACGGGGAGCCGCCCAAGCGGUGGAUGAUGUGGGUUAAUUCCGAUGCACGCGAAAAACCUUUCCCACCUUUGACAUGGCAGGAAGUUUCCAGAAAUGGAUUCGUGCUCUUCAGAAACUCUGAAAACAGGUGCUGCUUGCUUGUCUCCGCCUCGUGUCGGGAGAUGUUGGGUUAAGUCCCGCACCAAGGGCAACCCUUGUCAUUGUUGGCUACAUUUAGUUGGGCACUCUAAUGAGACUGCCGGUGACAAACCUGAGGAAAGUUGGGAUGACGUCCAAUCCUCAUGGCCCUUAUACGAUGAGGCUACACACGUCGUACCAUGGCUGUAAAGAGAUAGCCAACCUCCGAGGAGCAGCUAAACCUAUUAAACAGUCGUAGUCCGAUCUGAAUCUGCAACUCCGACUGCAUGAAGUCCGAAUCCGCUAGUAAUCCUGAUCAGCAUG
rnacentral:rRNA from 1 species